GGGGUGCGGGGCCGGGGGUGCCGCCCCCCCCCCCCCCCAAACCUGACCCCCGGCGCCUCGGCCCAUGACUCAGCCUCCGGGAAAAGGGGAAUAAACACCAUUAAAGAAAUCACGAGAGCAAGACCCGGAGUGAGGUGGCUGAGGCGCCUGGAGCAGUGAGAGACAUGCGAGAGCCAGCCGAGGGACCUGUCCCACCUCAUUCCUAUUUUUGGCACGCCGAAGCUUCCCCGAGAAGACCAUCAUUUAUGUGAUCACAUCUCCUCCGUGUGACAGAACACCAAAGCGACUGAGCCUUCUGGUCCUGGGAGGAGUGUGGGCUCAAAAAGACGAGGGUCAACACCCCAUGGUGACCCAAGGAUCAGCUUAAACUUGCAGUGUGUUGCCCUGGAGUGGGAGCAACCACCCAGCUCCCACUGGUGAUUUGGUGAAUCAAUCCCAAGCUCCUGGGGCAGUUGUUGCUGUGUGAGUAUGCCCAUGAAGGCUCUUAAUUCCAACCUAUUUAUUGUCGCCUUUCUCCUAAGCUCCAGCUUCACUUGCUGCCGCAGCCAGCAUUUUCCAACGUGCCUGCCUGCGGUUAAGAUUUUGAACCUAUGUUUAAGCACCUCAGCAAACACGGUAUGCGGCUUCGCACACCCUCUCUCAGAGCUUCUGCACACAAAACACCCUGUUAAUAAUUAUUUGCAGCGUGGGACUUGGCAUCUCAGCCUCUCUGGCUGCGAAUCCCUGAGUGUUUCCCAAGAUGGUCUGGCACCAGGGUGGCUUAGGGUCAGGGGUAUGGUCAAAAAUGUGAAGACUCUUUGCCCCAUGGUCUCAGCCGAAGGUGCUCGUAGGUUAUGGGAGGUGUGGGAGCAUCCCUGGAGGACACCGCAGCUGUGCCUGGCUCCUGCAACCUCCAGCACCCUCUCCAGCUGCAGCCAGGAGUCAAUAAAGCCGAACUGCUCGGACACUGCCAA